rnacentral:piRNA from 1 species
GAUGUAGGUGUUUAGGGCCAUCAACUU